AUACGUAGGGGGCAAGCGUUGUCCGGAAUUACUGGGCGUAAAGCGCACGCAGGCUGACUUAUAAGUCGGUAGUCUAAUGCGGAGGCUCAACUUCCGUUUAUCUAUCGAUACUGUGAGACUAGAGUAUGUGAGAGGGAAGUGGAAUUCCCGGUGUAGUGGCGAAAUGCGUAGAUAUCGGGAGGAACACCAGUGGCGAAGGCGACUCCCUGGCACAAUACUGACGCUCAGGUGCGAAAGCUAGGGUAGCGAACGGGAUUAGAUACCCCGGUAGUCCUAGCCGUAAACGAUGGAUACUAGGUGUGGGUGUCGCAGGGCAUCCGUGCCGCAGCUAACGCGUUAAGUAUCCCGCCUGGGGACUACGGUCGCAAGACUGAAACUCAAAUGAAUUGACGGGG
rnacentral:rRNA from 1 species